rnacentral:lncRNA from 1 species
AGAAAUGGACAUCAUCAUUUAUCUUUCUCAACAUUAUUGCUGUAUUAAACACAUUAGAAAAAAAGAAGACUAUUAAAAUUUGGCAGUUUUGUUCCUGUGGUGCAAUGAUGUCAGUUCAUUUUGUUUGGAAAAAGCAGAUGCUGAUAAGCUUAUGAGUACUUUUUUUGCUGUAAUUGUGAGGUACUUAUUGAUAAAGAAAUAGCCUUUCUAUGAUUUGGAUAAUUUAUUUCCGUAUUAAAAUCAUUUUGUCAACUGUUAUGUAAGUGCCAAAUUAAAGACAGACGUGAUUAGAAAUGAAAUAUCAUAAUACAACUACUGUGGAUUCAUUUAGUUUUUUUGGGUACUAAUUUUCAUGGAUUAGGAAGACUUGCAUAUUCGUGGAUAUUUGUUUGUGUGGUUUUUGUAGAGCCUGUGACUUUUUUUCGCAAUAGCUUGACAUAGGGAUAGUGAUCCAGCGGAGGCAUUAGCUAUCUUCUUAAAAGCUUUUAUAUUUUAGGAGGUGGAAGACCUGGAUGCCUCAAACUUUGUAUAUGGAUGCCUCAUGUCACAAAGUUUCCGUCAGUCCCAUGUCUAAUGUCCUUGACCUCAUUUUCAUGGUUCAGUGACUACUUGAAAAAAGUGAACAUUUUUGGUAAUGUUAAUUUCUCUCUUAUUAUAAAUAAUAACAUAACUAUAUUUGGUAUGUGCCUACCUUGCAAGGUCCUCAUGUCCGUCAGACAGUUUCCACUUGAUCUCGACCUCAUUUCAUGGAUCAGUGAACAAAGUUAAGUUUUGAUGGUCAAUUCCAUAUCUCAAAUACUAUAAGCAAUAGGUCUUGUAUAUUCGGUGAAUGGAAGGACUGUAAGGUGUACAUGUCCAACUGGCAGGUGUCAUCUGACCUUGACCUCAUUUUCAUGGUUCAGUGGUUAUAGUUAAGUUUUUGUGUUUUGGUCUGUUUUUCUUAUACUAUAUGCAAUAGGUGUACUAUAUUUUGUGUAUAAAAUGAUUGUAGGGUGUACAUGUCUAGCUGACAGGUGUCAUCUGACCCUAUUUUCAUGAUUUAGUGACUCAAGUGAAGGUUUUUGGGAUACGAUUGCUUUCAAGCAAUUGUAGACUUAUACGAUUGGAUCAGGGUGUCAUGCCCUCACGUCAACCGUUUUAUUCUAAACAUUUUGGAACAUCUCAGAUUCUUAUGAUUGUCUUGGUUUAAAAGGUAAAAACAAACAAAUGGAUUGAACUUAAACAACUGUCCUAUAAUGUUCUCUUCAUAAUCUUCAUGUUUGAUAUUUCCCUUGACUUAUAUGCGUGUUUUUAACAACACAGAAAAUCAGAAUUAAGCAGUAUUUGUAUUUAGUGUUUUUAUAAAUUUAGAAACACGUCAGAGAGAAUUUCCCAGUUGUGAUAAAAAUGCAAGAGUUCUCUGAAUUCCAAUAAAUCUAUUUCUGUCAUAUACGAACUGAAGUGGAGUUUUUCUUAUAAUGUCACUGUUAUGAAACUGGUAUUUGAUAAUGUACUUCCAUAAAGAAAUAGAGAACCAUCUAGGUCGUUUAAUUAAUGUACGUUCUUGCUCUAGGGUUUGUUUAAAUAAUUAUGCGCAUGCGUUUAGUUUUCUUGACUUCAAGGGGUAUUAGAUUGAAUAGUUGCUCUGGAUUUCCCACUCAAUUUAUUAAUUUAUAACUCAUGGGAUCCUUUCUAUGUAUGUCUACUAUUGAGGGUUAUUGUUGUUGCAUAAUUCUAAAUCAUAUGCAUCAUUUAAAUUAAAAUAAAUGUAGUCCACAUCGUAAAAGUAACUACAACACCCUUUCAGGCGAAAUGGAGUCUUCCAUAUUAUCGUUUCGAGUUGUCUCCCUUCUGGAAGUAACUGAAUCAAAACAACAUGUUGAGAAAAAUAAAAUUGUUUUGUCGAUAAACGUCGUAUUAUAUUAAAAACGAUUGCAAUUUAAACCGAGGAAUGUGUACGGAAAGACGUCAUGAUCACUGACCCAAAGGAAAUUAAAUAUAUAAAGAGUUAGGAAUGGGGUUUCUCCUAUAAUUAACGUAGGAAAAUAGGUGAUAAAUGUAUAAAUGAUUUAUUUUUCAGGUUUUAUGGACAUAUUUUAUUUCCUUGCACCCAAUGUUGUAUGAUGAUUCGUCAUGGCUCACCAAGUGUAGAAAUUCCAAGAUGACUCAAGAAGAGAUUUUAUUCGCUAUAUUCCGUUCAAAUUUUGAUCGUGAUUCUAUAAUUGAACUUUGUACACCUUAACUAAUGGACAAAUGUUGAAAUAUUUUGACACAGAAGCAGAGAUGGGUCUGAUUACUUUC